AAAAAGGUUAUGGUAACAGCUAGAAGAUGGAUGCUCGCGCGGUAGAACAGGAGAGGUUGCCCCCUGGGUGAUGAGCGGCGGACGGGUGAGUAAUGUCUGGGAAACUGCCUGAUGGAGGGGGAUAACUACUGGAAACGGUAGCUAAUACCGCAUAACGUCGCAAGACCAAAGAGGGGGACCUUCGGGCCUCUUGCCAUCAGAUGUGCCCAGAUGGGAUUAGCUAGUAGGUGGGGUAAUGGCUCACCUAGGCGACGAUCCCUAGCUGGUCUGAGAGGAUGACCAGCCACACUGGAACUGAGACACGGUCCAGACUCCUACGGGAGGCAGCAGUGGGGAAUAUUGCACAAUGGGCGCAAGCCUGAUGCAGCCAUGCCGCGUGUGUGAAGAAGGCCUUCGGGUUGUAAAGCACUUUCAGCGAGGAGGAAGGUGGUGAGCUUAAUACGCUCAUCAAUUGACGUUACUCGCAGAAGAAGCACCGGCUAACUCCGUGCCAGCAGCCGCGGUAAUACGGAGGGUGCAAGCGUUAAUCGGAAUUACUGGGCGUAAAGCGCACGCAGGCGGUUUGUUAAGUCAGAUGUGAAAUCCCCGGGCUCAACCUGGGAACUGCAUUUGAAACUGGCAAGCUAGAGUCUCGUAGAGGGGGGUAGAAUUCCAGGUGUAGCGGUGAAAUGCGUAGAGAUCUGGAGGAAUACCGGUGGCGAAGGCGGCCCCCUGGACGAAGACUGACGCUCAGGUGCGAAAGCGUGGGGAGCAAACAGGAUUAGAUACCCUGGUAGUCCACGCUGUAAACGAUGUCGAUUUGGAGGUUGUGCCCUUGAGGCGUGGCUUCCGGAGCUAACGCGUUAAAUCGACCGCCUGGGGAGUACGGCCGCAAGGUUAAAACUCAAAUGAAUUGACGGGGGCCCCGCACAAGCGGUGGAGCAUGUGGUUUAAUUUCGAUGCAACGCGAAGAACCUUAUCCUACUCUUGACAUCCAGAGAACUUUCUCAGAGAUGCAUUGGUGCCUUCGGGGACUCUGAGAACAGGUGCUGCAUGGCCUGUCGUCAGCUCGGUCGCUGUGAAAUGUUGGGUUAGUCCCCGCCAACCGAGCCGCAAACCCUUAUCCUUUUGGUUGUCAACGGCUCUGGCCGGGUAAACUCUAAAGGCAGAACUUGCCAGUGAUUAACCUGUGAGGAAGAGG
rnacentral:rRNA from 1 species